rnacentral:rRNA from 1 species
UACGUAGGGGGCAAGCGUUGUCCGGAAUCAUUGGGCGUAAAGAGCGUGUAGGCGGCUCGGUAAGUCCGCUGUGAAAGUCCAGGGCUCAACCCUGGAAUGCCGGUGGAAACUGUCGAGCUAGAGUCCGGAAGAGGCGAGUGGAAUUCCUGGUGUAGCGGUGAAAUGCGCAGAUAUCAGGAGGAACACCAAUGGCGAAGGCAGCUCGCUGGGACGGUACUGACACUGAGACGCGAAAGCGUGGGGAGCGAACAGG